UGAGGAAUAUUGGACAAUGGGUGAGAGCCUGAUCCAGCCAUCCCGCGUGAAGGAUGACGAUCCUAUGGAUUGUAAACUUCUUUUGUACAGGGAUAAACCUACUCUCGUGAGGGUAGCUGAAGGUACUGUACGAAUAAGCACCGGCUAACUCCGUGCCAGCAGCCGCGGUAAUACGGAGGGUGCAAGCGUUAUCCGGAUUUAUUGGGUUUAAAGGGUCCGUAGGCGGACUUGUAAGUCAGUGGUGAAAUCUCAUAGCUUAACUAUGAAACUGCCAUUGAUACUGCAGGUCUUGAGUAAAUUUGAAGUGGCUGGAAUAAGUAGUGUAGCGGUGAAAUGCAUAGAUAUUACUUAGAACACCAAUUGCGAAGGCAGGUCACUAAGAUUUAACUGACGCUGAUGGACGAAAGCGUGGGGAGCGAACA
rnacentral:rRNA from 1 species